ACUCCUACGGGAGGCUGCAGUCGAGAAUCUUUCGCAAUGCCCGAGAGGGUGACGAAGCGACGCCGCGUGCGGGAAGAAGGCCUUCGGGUUGUAAACCGCUGUCGGGAGUUAGGAAGUGCAAGGAUGUUAAUAGCAUUCUUGCUUGACUAAGGCUCCGGAGGAAGCCACGGCUAACUCUGGGCCAGCAGCCGCGGUAAUACAGAGGCGGCAAGCGUUGUUCGGAAUUAUUGGGCGUAAAGAGCACGUAGGCGGCUGUGUAAGUCGGUUGUGAAAGCCUUCCGCUUAACGGAAGAACGGCAUCCGAUACUGCAUAGCUUGAGUGCGGGAGGGGAGAGUGGAACUUCUGGUGGAGCGGUGAAAUGCGUAGAUAUCAGAAGGAACACCGGCGGCGAAGGCGACUCUCUGGUCCGUAACUGACGCUGAGUGUGCGAAAGCUAGGGGAGCAAACGGGAUUAGAUACCCCGGUAGUCCUAGCCGUAAACGAUGGGCACUAAGUAGAGGGGUUUUGAUUAUCUCUCUGCCGGAGCUAACGCAUUAAGUGCCCCGCCUGGGGAGUACGGCCGCAAGGCUAAAACUCAAAAGAAUUGACGG
rnacentral:rRNA from 1 species